GUCAGUUUCUUCAUUCUAUGGAAUUAUAGGCUGCAGUGAUUUAAAAAAUCUUGAAGUUAAGUAACUCAUUCUGUUGCUUUGUCUGGGAAGGUCUGUUGUGCAGCCUUGCACAAGCACAGCUGUGAGUAGCUCCAUCCAUGAAAAAAAACAUGAAUGAGCCAUUUAGCAAGCUAACAGAUGAUGUGACUGUUACCCUAAACGUUUGUUUCUUUUCUUUACCACUUCAUGAUAAAUGUGAAACACGAUAUCUCCUGACCUAUACUGCUAUAUGUUUUUUUUUUGUCUGACUCAGGAUGUGAUCUAGUUCUAUCUAAAGGGGUUUAUUUAAUUUUAAUUAAUUUAUAUUGUCUUACACAUAUUUAUACAUUUGAAUAAAUACUGUAAUAAAUUAUAAAAUGCAUCUUCAUUAAAUUCUUCGGUAUAAGAAGGACCUACAUUGGAUAUGGAAAGUAUUUAUAUCUCUAUAUACAAUAUAUUGUGUACAUUUGCAUGAGACCUGGUGAAGUGUGCUGAGUCUGUUUCACUGAAU